rnacentral:rRNA from 1 species
CUCCUACGGGAGGCAGCAGUGGGGGAUAUUGCACAAUGGGGGGAACCCUGAUGCAGCGACGCCGCGUGGGUGAAGGAGCGUUUCGGCGCGUAAAGCCCUAUCGGCAGGGAAGAAGGAGGACGGGACCUGACUAAGAAGCCCCGGCUAACUACGUGCCAGCAGCCGCGGGAAUACGGAGGGGGCAAGCGUUAUCCGGGUUUACUGGGGGGAAAGGGGGGGCAGACGGGAGGGCAAGCCAGG